GCUGGGCGCGGUGGCGUGUGCCUGUAGUCCCAGCUACUUGGGAGGCUGAGGCUGGAGGAUCGCUUGAGUCCAGGAGUUCUGGGCUAUAGUGCGCUAUGCCAAUCAGGUGUCUGCACUAAGUUCAGCAUCGAUAUGGUGAUCUCCUGGGAGUAGGGGACCACCAGGUUGCCUAAGAAGGGGUGAACCGGCCCAGGUCAGAAACAGAGCAGGUCAAAAUCCCACGCUGAUCAGUAGUGGGAUGGCGCCUGUGAAUAGCCACUGCACUCCAGCCUAGGCAACAUAGUGAGACCCCAUCUCU
rnacentral:SRP_RNA from 1 species